rnacentral:rRNA from 1 species
CACGCCGUAAACGAUGAUAACUAGCUGCUGGGGCACAUGGUGUUUCAGUGGCGCAGCUAACGCAUUAAGUUAUCCGCCUGGGGAGUACGGUCGCAAGAUUAAAACUCAAAGGAAUUGACGGGGGCCUGCACAAGCGGUGGAGCAUGUGGUUUAAUUCGAAGCAACGCGCAGAACCUUACCAGCGUUUGACAUCCUCAUCGCGAUUUCCAGAGAUGGAUUUCUUCAGUUCGGCUGGAUGAGUGACAGGUGC